rnacentral:hammerhead_ribozyme from 1 species
AUCCAGCUGACGAGUCCCAAAUGGGACGAAACCCACCUCAAACUGGAU